CUAUAGCUUGACACUGAACAUUGAGCCUUGAUGUGUAGGAUAGGUGGGAGGCUUUGAAGCGUGGACGCCAGUCUGCGUGGAGCCGACCUUGAAAUACCACCCUUUAAUGUUUGAUGUUCUAACGUGGACCCGUAAUCCGGGUUGCGGACAGUGUCUGGUGGGUAGUUUGACUGGGGCGGUCUCCUCCUAAAGAGUAACGGAGGAGCACGAAGGUUGGCUAAUCCUGGUCGGACAUCAGGAGGUUAGUGCAAUGGCAUAAGCCAGCUUGACUGCGAGCGUGACGGCGCGAGCAGGUGCGAAAGCAGGUCAUAGUGAUCCGGUGGUUCUGAAUGGAAGGGCCAUCGCUCAACGGAUAAAAGGUACUCCGGGGAUAACAGGCUGAUACCGCCCAAGAGUUCAUAUCGACGGCGGUGUUUGGCACCUCGAUGUCGGCUCAUCACAUCCUGGGGCUGAAGUAGGUCCCAAGGGUAUGGCUGUUCGCCAUUUAAAGUGGUACGCGAGCUGGGUUUAGAACGUCGUGAGACAGUUCGGUCCCUAUCUGCCGUGGGCGCUGGAGAACUGAGGGGGGCUGCUCCUAGUACGAGAGGACCGGAGUGGACGCAUCACUGGUGUUCGGGUUGUCAUGCCAAUGGCACUGCCCGGUAGCUAAAUGCGGAAGAGAUAAGUGCUGAAAGCAUCUAAGCACGAAACUUGCCCCGAGAUGAGUUCUCCCUGAGACUUUAGGUCUCCUGAAGGAACGUUGAAGACGACGACGUUGAUAGGCCGGGUGUGUAAGCGCAGCGAUGCGUUGAGCUAACCGGUACUAAUGAACCGUGAGGCUUAACCUUACAACGCCGAAG
rnacentral:rRNA from 1 species